rnacentral:rRNA from 1 species
UACAGAGGGUGCGAGCGUUAAUCGGAAUUACUGGGCGUAAAGGGCUCGUAGGCGGCCAACUAAGUCAGACGUGAAAUCCCUCGGCUUAACCGGGGAACUGCGUCUGAUACUGGAUGGCUUGAGUGUGGGAGAGGGAUGCGGAAUUCCAGGUGUAGCGGUGAAAUGCGUAGAUAUCUGGAGGAACACCGGUGGCGAAGGCGGCAUCCUGGACCACGACUGACGCUGAGUGAGCGAAAGCCAGGGGAGCAAACGGG